CGUUUCAACAGGCCGACUAUAUUCCCGAAUAAUUCGAAUUCUGAUGUUAAUGAUUUUCGUCGAUUUACUUGGGAUUAUUCAAAAUUACGACAUAAAUGUAUAACUGGAUAAGAAAUUGGCCAAGAAGUAAUGAGCGAACGAAAGUGAUUUAACAUUACGUUUCCAGAUAUCAGAUACCUAAUCACGAACUGUCACAUCCAAAAUAGCAAAACCAGAAACAGAGAACCAAAGAUACCACAACCAGAAACCAUAAGCAGAACCAGAACCAGAGAACAGUCACAAUCUCAAAUCCUAAUCUAAUUACCAACCACCACCACCUCCGCCGCUUCCUCCAUAACCACCACCUUCACCACCUCCGUAUCCACCACCCUCGCGUCUGCCACCACCGUAGCUUCCGCCGCCACCACCUCCUCUUGAGGAGUAUCCACCUCCACCACCAGAGUAACCACCCUCGCGUCUUCCGCCGCCACCUCCGUAUCCACCGCCACCACCUCCGUAGCCACCGCCGCCGCUGCGGUAUCCACCGCCACCACCACCACGGCCGCCUCCGCCACCGCUUCCACGUGACUGAGCCUCGUUCACAGUGAUGCUGCGACCAUCGAGCUCCUGUCCGUUCAUUCCCUCAAUGGCGUCUUUCAUGGAUUUCUCAUCCUUGAAAGUGACGAAUCCGAAUCCCCUCGAUCUUCCAGUCUCACGAUCGUUAAUGAUCUGGAAACAUAAAAACGAAACAGAUCAGCCAAAUAAUCCAACACAGACGGACACACAAAUCGAGCCAAAAAAUUUCAAAAAGAAAACGAUCGAUCUCCGGGCUCAUAAAAGCAGGAAGAUGAACGUACCGAUUGGGAAAAACAAGUAACAGAGUAACAAAGAACGAGAGAGAGAGCAUGCAUAGUAACAGUAAUUCGAAUCAAGUAACAGAGAAACACAGAUCGGAACAGAUCCGUCGAGGAUCAGAAUCAUCGGAAUCCCGGAGAGUCCGAUCUCUGCGUGUAACGGACCUUGGAAUCAAUAACGUCGCCGUACUGAGAGAAGGCAGUCUCGAGAGCUCUGUCAUCAGUGGCCCAAGCUAGGCCUCCAACGAAGCACCGGAACUCGACAUCUGCGGACGCCAUUGAAUGAGAGAAAUGAUAGAGAAGAUCUAAAAAAAGAGAAGUGGAGAGAUCUGAGUGAUGAGUGAGGGAGACGAAGAAUCUCUUUAUAAUGGGGCUGAGAUAUUUAACCAAGGUUAGAUAUUUUCUAGGGUUAGAGUCGGUUUUUAAUGAAAUUUGGUUUAACUAUGGUUAAGCGUGUGGUUUAAAAUGGUGGUGGUUGGAGACACCUCACGUGACACUUUUUUGGAUUAAUGCGCAAAUGGAAAGACGAUGCAGGAAAAGAUAUUUUUUCUUUCCGCUUGUUCCAAGAAAAAUAUCUAGUCAGGUAGAAAUAUCUGCUAAAUGAAAUGACAAGUUUACCCCGUAAGUCUCAUCUCGUAUUCAGAUCACUGAGCCGACUGACACUGGGCCGGAAAUUUAUUUUUGGACAUAAGAGAAAAACCUAAUUGGGUCAGAAUCUUAGCCCAGAAUUAAUAUUAGGCCGAAAAUAAACUCAAAAUAUAUAUAUUUGAAAAAAACAAUUGUUGACAGUGGGUUUGAACCCACGCCCUUUCGGACAGGAACCUUAAUCCUGCGCCUUAGACCAACUCGGCCAUAUCAACUUUGAUGUUUUGUUAUAGUAAAUCUUCUUUUUUUUUUAAUUUCCCCUUAUUGUUGAACCUGAGACAUUAUUCCCCUUUAAUUCUUCUGAAGAAUCUGAAGAAUCAAAACUCGAAAGUCUUUCCCAAACCAAGCUUCUGAAAGUUCAUUCCCUUAAUGUGAUAUAUGUCUUCUUGGGUACAAUAAUCAAAAGGAACACUUUGAUUUUAAUAUCAAACGAAAAUAGAGCAUGCUAUGAUUAAGAAGCAAGUCUUCAGAGGUGCAUGCAUUGACCCAAAAUUUAGAUUUGAAUCCCAUUAUUAUUUUCAAUCUAGUAAAACUAACUUCUGAAUUUGUUUGGCUCAUGCAAAAAUCUAUCAUAUUUCUAAUAUUCACAUGGAAGACUAGGGUUUUAACUAUUAAGUAUCGAUUAUCUUCUAAAUUAUCAGUCUCGAAUUAAUAAAAUUCCUCUUCAUUCCUUAAAAAUAUAUCAUUUAUAUGGAAUUUAUUUAUAUACAUUCCUUUUGUUCCUCAUAAAAUACACUAUUUAUAAAAAAAAAAUUUUUUACACACUAUUCCUUAUCAUUUUUUUAUUUUUAGGAAAUUAUAGAACAAAAAUAUUCAUAACCAAAUUUAACAAAAAACAAUAAGAUAUUAUGUAUCUUCAUUCCCUUCCUAUUCAUUCCUAUUAUGUUUUUAUAAUUGCCAAUUAAAGUCUAAAGUAUUAACUAUUUAAGUAUCGAUUAUCUUCUAAACUACCAGUCCGAACUAUAAAAUUAUUUCACUCAUAGAGACAUGUUUGAAACAAUUUAUAUAUUACACUAUUGUACUUACAUAAACAUGGAUCUACAUGUUUGAUUCUCUUAUUAAAAAAACAUGGUAUUUCUCCCUCAGAUUGGAGUUUUGUCGGGAUAAUGUCAUCUUCUUUAGGUGGUUUGCCUUCUUUAACAUGUAAAUCGCCGCUUCUUUCUCUGCUUCUGUUCCUUGGUACCCAAUCCACUCAACUGUUUCGAGACCCGACACAAAACAUUCAGGAACACAACACGGUUGCUCCCACUGAGCUUCGAAAUCUCUGAACAUGCCGCAGUUUAACUGAACAUACCAACAAAAAAAAACGGCAUGUGACCUUUACAUGUUGGAAUCGGUAAUUGUUUAUAAAGAAGUUGGAAUUACCGGCCUAAAGAUUUGUUACAAGGGAUAAUCAAGAUCGUUAUUCGUUACAGUUCUUAUAAAUAGCUGUGUUCAAAUUGUAAUGUCACACGGCUUGCUUUCUCUAUCACAGGCCAGGAGUCAAGACUUUGGAUUGUAAUAGACGUACCUGACUUGUAUAUUGAGAAGAUUGUACUACAUUGAUAAUAAUUUGGUAUAUAUAGACUAUCCCCAUGAAGAUGGUCGAGCAAAACGAAUUGGCUUACUUUAACUGGUUGUUAUGAUCUCAUGGAUAGCCAUUACAAAGACCAAGAAGCUUUAGACAAUUAUUCUACAAAACGUUUUAUUUAUAUCGAAGUCCUCUUCUCAAACUGUUUAAAAAGCCUGGGGAACGGGCAAGACACUUCAGAAGUACAGGGUCCUGCCUGGAGGAGCCUCUUCCACAGUCAAGAAUCGAGAACCACGAUUAUUUCUGUGAGACUCUUCCACAUGGAUGUAUUUACCAUCAAUCUCAAUGCCUUCCAUCAUCAAAACAGCAUAUCUCAUCGAUUCCUCCUCUUUAAAAGUAACAAAACCAUGUCGUAUCGAUUUUCCUGUCCCAGGACGGCAAAUGAUCUACGAAUACAUAGAAAAUCAUGAAAAAACAAUCAAAGCCGACACUUAAUCGUGAAUUGUCAGAUAUCAAAAUGAUUAAUAUACAGAAACAACAACAAAAAAAAAGUAAACAAAUAUACAGUAACCAAAUCCUAAUUAAAGUAGACCUCGCAAUCUGUAACAUCGCCAAACAUGCAAAAUGCUCUUGCAAGACGAGUUGCAUCAGUAUCGCGGUUCAGAUUAUGAACAAAGCAAACAAACCCUUUCGGACCGUGUAAUGGCAUCUCUCAUCGAUUUCUCGUCCUCAAAAGUAACAAAACCAAAUCUUCUCGAUGUUCCAUUCAUAAACGUGAUCUUUUGGAAACAAAUUAAGAUAAACGGUACAGAUCAGUAAAAAGAGUAUCUGACAAAAUGUUCAUGCACAAACGUAAAAUAAUAACUAAAUGUUCAAGGCGUGACUGACUUCAGAUUUGAUAACGUUGCCAAACUUUGAAAAGACUCUCUUCAGAUCAUUUGCAUCCGUUUCUCUGUCCACCGAGAACUAAGCACCUGAACUCAGAAUCUGCUGAAGCCAUUUGAAAAAAAAAAAACGACUAAUCAGGGUUUCUAUGUAGAAUAAGGAGAAACUUGUAAAAAAAUGUUGUGAGAAGUUGAAUUCAAUUUAUAGAAAAGGGGAGAGGAUUAGGGUUUUGGAUUUUUUUUUAAUAUGUUAAUUACGAUUUAAUCUUUAAAUUUGACCCCAAAAAAAAUGAAUUACAGUUACGGUGAGUUUUAUGAUAGAGGAGAGGAAACUGUUUAGCAAAUCGUGGAAUCGUGGAUUUUGAUGAGAUAAUAUAGGAUUUUUAAAAUGAUAGUUUUUGGUUUUUAACGUUUAAAUUAUUUUUUUACUCAACCACAUGUCACCAUGUCAUUGGUGAAGUGACUCGUGAUUAUGUAUAAUAAAGAUAUUAGAUUUUAACCCCGUGCGUCCGCACGAGAAUGUUUGAUUUUUUAUUUCUAAUAUAAGUUGCAUUUAUCAUUUUUGUUUAGAUAUAAUUUAUUUUUGUUAUUUAUUUUUUUUAAUCAAAAAAUUGUUAUUAUAUUUUAAUUUUAAACAGUAAAAUUUGUAUAUUAGUAGAAUAAGAGUAUAUGUUAAUUAAGUAUACAUUGAUCUAAUGUUAAUUAUAAACUUUGUUAUUAUGUAAAUUUAGAUUUACACAUAAACAAUCUAUAUAUCUAUGAAUUUGUUAAUCCAUCCGUUUAGUUGUCUUAAAUCAUUUUUAAUAACUUACAUGUUUUGACAAACUAACCCGUAUAAGACUAUAAUUAUAAUUGUAUAACCCUAUAAAUAUUUACUAAUAUGGAAUAUUUGGACCAAUUGAUUAUGAAAAUAUAUAAAAAGAUAUUUAUUUACUAUUUGUGCUAUUAAAAAAAAAAAAUAUAUAUAUUAACCUGUUAGUUUAAUUGUCUCAAAUCAUCUUAAUAUCUUACAUGUUUUAAUAAAUUAACUCAUGAACCUUAAAUAUAUAUAUAUAUAUAUAUAUAACUCUAAUAAGCUCGAUCAUAUUAUUGUAUAAUAGAAAUAUUUAUUAAUCUCAAAUAUUUAAUAUUUUAGAUUGAUUGUUUAUGAUAAAAUACGAUAAAAUAUUUAUUUACUAUGCAUUUUUAUAAAAAUAUUAUUUAAAUUUAAAUUUUAAAAUUAAAUCUUUUCUGUUUUUAAGAAAUUAUAAAGUACUAAAAUUACUAUCUAAAUUUUGUAAUAAAAUUUAAUUAUAUUUUUUUGAAUUUUUUGAAUUUAAAUUAAAUUGAACGCAAAUUUUUGUAACUAAAUUUAAUUAAAUUGAAAUUUAAAUUAAAGAUGACCUAGAUUUUAGAAAAUCUAAAAAUAUCUAAACUAAUAACUAAUUUUCGGAAAUUAAAUAUAAAAAUAAAAUAAAAUAUUAUAAAAAAAACUUUGGAAGUGUUUGGAUGCAAGUACUAAAUGUGCUUCUGUUUUAAUAGAAUAGAUAGAUGCAUGGACAAUCUUUUUUCUUAAAGCUCUCUAUGUGUUAUACAUAAUUUCCUUGGUAUCUCAGAUGAUCAAGAUCUAACAAUUCGUACUACGAUAGAAGAAAAUGAUCCCAUAUCUCUUAGCCGUUUCAUUUUUAUUGUGCGUGAUAUCCCCACUCUUUACAGUAUCAAAUUAACAAAAAGUUACUAUAAAAGACUAGUUUGCAACUUGUACCGUACAAGUUGUACGUCACGUUUAGAGACGUUUGACUCAAUUUCAUAGCUUUCUCGAUUGCUGUGAACUUCUUAAUGUUAACUUGUGAACCAGAAUCAGGUUAUUGAACCUAAACCAAGAUUUAUAUGAACCCGUAAUUGUUAAUAUAGAAGUUGGAAUCGGUCUAAAGUUUUGUUACAGGGAAUAAUUAAUGAAGAGAUCGUUAUUCGUUAACAAUUCUUAUAAUUAAAUAGCGUUGUCACAUCACAUAAAUAAUCUUCUAAUAAAUAAUUAAUACUUGAUUCAAAGCACCACGUCCCAAACAAUCACAUAGUGAUAUAUUAUAAAGGGGAGCCUAGAAGCUUAUUAUAUAAUUCUAUUAUAUAUAUAUAUCUUAUGAAACAUUGUCAAAUAUAUAUAUAUAUAUCUUAUGAAACUUGGGUUCAUGCCUUCUUCUUCUUUGGACCAACACCGUGACGACGACAACUUUUGCGAGACGAGUAAGCCUGUUCCACAGUUAUGGUUGUGUAUGGCGGGGCGAGCUUAUGAGUACCGUUCAUUCCGUUAAUAGCAUCCCUCAUGGAUUUCUCGUCUUUGAAAGUAACAAAUCCAUAUGCCAUUGAAUGAUCUUCAUCAUACUCAGAUGGAUAAACGACCUAUGAAACAAUGACUAACAUAAUUCAGAAUAAUUGUUAUAAAAAAAAAAAUCAAUACGUCGCCUAACUGGAUUUAUUAAUGAAAAAAAAAUGAAAAAACCAACAUAAGUUCCUAUAACGUCGCCAAACCGAGAAAACGCAUUCUUGCGAACAUAGCACUUGUAUUCAACAUCUUCGGACGCCAUUUUUGAAAGAUGCAGAUUGAUGAGGACAAUUUAUAUAAAAGAUUAUUUAUGUGGUUAUAAAUGCUAUCGAAUCUAAAAACUUUUAGAAACAAGCGUCUUUUUUCUUUCUUUGAAACUAGUUUUCCCUAGUUCCCAAACUUUCUAGAUAUUUUAUCUAAAUCUCAGUGUUUUUUUUUUUUCUGGUACAACUAAAAUGUGAAAACCAUUACUAGUAAAUUGAUUUUAUUGGAAAGUAGGAGUAUAUGUUUCCAAUAAAAGUCAAUUUGUUUUCUUGCUUAAGCUGUUAGUUUCAGUUUAUACUCCCUCCAUUUCACAAAGAGUGUCAUUUUGACACUUUAUGUUUGUUUCAAAAAGAAUGUCGUUUUAGAAUUUCAAUGUAAUUUUUAACAUAAAAUAUCAUUUUUAACCUCAAUAAAUUCAGAAAAUUAAUUAUAAAUAUGAUUCCAAAAGUCAUUUUCUACAAAUUAAUAAGGGUAUAAAAGACUUUUUAUCUUAUUUCUUAAUUUGUGUGAAGAUUGUCAGAACGACACUCUUUGUGAAACGGAGGGAGUACUAUUUUUUACCUACCACAACAAUUCAAUAAUAUCACUCAAAAUUUCUCAGUGAUUUGCUUAUGAAAUGCACUAUUGAAUGAUGAUGAAUACAAAAUUCUAACGAAACUCUUGUUGAAAUGCAUCUUUACAUUAUAAAGGUGCACUAAGCUACUAACGAAACUCUUGUCUCACUAUUGCUACUUUUUUCUGUUAAUUUGCAUUUGGAUAUAUAAUUCCUCUGGACAUCUGCAAGUGAGCACAGUUAGAUAAACACAAAACGCUAAUGUGCUUCUACUAUAUUUAAAUCUUGGUUUAGAGAUGAGUAGUUACUCUGGGAGCGAAACAAACCGGUUUAGUUAUAACCUGCGGUUGUCAUUAGGCUUGAAUUUUUCAGGAAUUGGGACGGGAAUUGACAGGUAAAGGAUGGGAAUUGAAAUUUUGGGAAUCUGAAUAUAUUACCCAAAAUAUUCCCACAAAAUAACGAGAGGGAAAUUUACGGGUAUGGGAUGGAAACGGGAAAUUCGAAAAUCAAAACACACUAUCCAUACAAUCCCAAAAUAAAAUAUAAUCAGGAAAAGGACGGGAAAGGAACAGGAAAGGGACGGGAAAAAUUUCGGAUAAUUCGGAUAAUUAAACUAAAAUCAAUUUUGUUUUUUUUUUUUAAAUUAUUAUUUGUUAAUAAAUUGGAAAAAUCAUUAUUUAUUAUAAAAAAAAUUUCAGUUAACCAAAAUCUCUAAAAUUUCACUUUAUAUAAUUACCCAACGGGAAGUUCGGGUAAUCCCAUUCCCGUCCCUACCCUUUUCCUUACCCAUUCAAAUAUUAUUUUCAAACCCAAAUGGGAAAUUACAAUUUCCCUUUUUCGAAAAGUUUGGGAAUUUCGGGACGGAUACGUUUCGGGACGGGUUACCCUUCCCGAAAAAUUCAGGCUUAGUUGUGACCUUGUGCGUAAUAUAGAUACUCACUUUUUACAGUAUCAAAUUAACAAAAAUUAUACUAAAAGCCUAGUUUGCAACUAAUAUCGACUUUGGCUCAAGAACAGGAUUUAAUAAAACUCUCUUUUAUUAAAUUUUAGGAAACUCUCUCAAAACCUAAAGAUCCAAAACACAAAACUCAUAAGUUAUUAACGACGACCCUACGACUGCGGAAAAUCAGUCGCCAAAAUGUCGCUAAAUAGUGAUUGCGAAUGUCGUCACUUCUUAGUCGCUAUCUAACGACGGAUUAGCGACUAAUAUGUAGUCACGAUUAAUCAGUCGCUAAAACGUCGAUAAAGUUGCAACUAAUUUGCGACAUAUGCGGCGAGUCGGUAUUAUUUAACACGUGUAAUACGUUUUAGGGUGGUUGUACCGGUUUUUCGCGACGAACCGUUGGCAGUCGCAAUAUAGUGACAAAACAGUCGCAUAUUAGUCGCAAAAUUUUCUAUAUAUUGAGAUCCCAUCUACGUUCCACUUCAUUAGUAUGCUUGCUAUCAUUUUGGUAGUUACUUUAUAAAAUUCCUUUAGCUGUAAGAAAUAUUUCUUACAAAAAAGGUGAAAAAAGAGUUAAGAAAAAAAAAACUCUUAUAAUAGAAAGAGAGUUAUAAUUUUAAUUAUAAUAAUUUUAGAGCUUGGAUGUAUAACCGAAUCGAUGAAAAGACGGGUAAUUUUUCGAAUGCGUUUAUAGAAGGAGUGGAGCAAUUCAUGAAUUUUGCAAAUAAUCAGACUAUAACACAAAGCAAUUGUGGUAAAUUUUUCUGCCCUUGUAGUGUAUGCAAUAAAACAAGUUUUUGUUGGGGAGUAAGAUUUGGAAUCAUCUAUACAGUAAAGGGUUCAUGCCAGAUUAUUAUGUUUGGUAUAAGCAUAGGGAAGAAAUAACUAUGGAUUAUGGAACUAGUUAUAAUAACAGUCAUCUAAGUGGGAGUGAAGAAAAAAUGGAUAAUAUAGCUGAAGAUAGAUAUGUGGAUAUGGUGAAUGAUGCAUUUUGUGAUAAUUUUCGUCAAGAUGAUAGCUAUUGUCUAGAUGAGAGUAAUGAAAAUGUAGAAGAACCUGUACGUAAUCAUCCCAAAAAUUUUUACGACUUGUUAGAAGCUGGGAAAAAACCAUUAUACGAUGGUUGUCAUGAAGGGCAUUCACAGUUAUCUUUAGCUGCUCGGUUCAUGCAAAAUAAGAUAGAUUAUAAUAUGAGUGAAAAAUGUAUGGAUUCAUGGGCCGCAUUGUUUACUGAGUAUUUACCAGAUGGAAAUCAAGCAACCAGUUCUCAUUACGAGACAGAGAAAUUGAUGGGAAACCUAGGCCUUCCUUUUCAUAAAAUUGAUGUUUGUAUCAACAAUUGUAUGAUCUUCUGGAAAGAGGACGAACAUUGGGAGAACUGUAAAUUUUGUCAAGCACCAAGAUAUAAGCAAGUCAAGGAAGGACGGCGAUCAAGAACCAGAAUACCAUAUAGUCGUAUGUGGUAUCUACCUAUAGCUGAUAGAUUAAAGAGAAUGUAUCAGAGCGAGAAGACAGCAGCGGCUAUGAGAUGGCAUGCUGAACACCAAGCCAAGGAUGGAGAAAUGUCACAUCCCUCUGAUGCUGCUGAGUGGAAAUAUUUUCAAGAUCUACAUCCUCAGUUUGCUGAAGAACCCCGAAAUGUUUAUCUUGGAUUAUGUACAGAUGGGUUUAAUCCAUUUGGCAUGUCUCGUAAUCAUUCUUUAUGGCCUGUGAUUUUGACCCCAUAUAAUUUACCUCCUGGUAUGUGCAUGAGGACAGAGUAUUUGUUCCUGACGAUAUUGAAUUCAGGGCCAAAUCAUCCACGAGCCAGUCUUGAUAUAUUCCUCCGACCUCUUAUUGAUGAGUUAAAAGAUCUAUGGUCUACUGGAGUGAAUGCAUAUGAUGUGUCCCUGAAACAAAACUUUAAUUUAAAAGCUGUGCUGCUGUGGACGAUAAGUGACUUUCCAGCAUACGGUAUGUUAUCAGGAUGGACUACUCAUGGUAAAUUGUCUUGUCCAAUUUGCAUGGAAGAUACAAAGGCUUUUUAUCUCCCUAAUGGAAGGAAGACAUGUUGGUUUGAUUGUCACAGAAGGUUUCUUCCACAAGAUCAUCCAUUAAGAAAAAAUAAAAAAGACUUUUUGAAGGGUAAAGGCAUGAGUGACUACCCACCAGAGUCUUUGACUGCUGAGCAAAUAUAUUCUGAGCGGAUAGAAUCUGUGAAUCCUGGUAGAACAUUUGAGUGCGGUGGAAAUGGUCAUGAAAAAAAGAAGGCUGGAUAUGGUAAGUGGCACAACUGGCACAAAGAAAGUAGUUUCUGGGAGUUGUCGUACUGGAGGGACCUUAAUCUCCGGCAUAAUCUUGAUGUGAUGCAUAUAGAAUAAGGCUAAAACGUGGCCCAUCUACUUCACUAGGGGAUACUUGUUUCAUACGCAGAAGCAUGGUGUGGACCGAAAAACCUGUAACUAUGGGAUAUGUGUGAAAGGAGAAAAUUAUACGGAUACAUCUGAUGAAGCCGAUUUCUAUGGAAUCUUAACUGAUAUCAUACAACUCGAGUACGAGGGAAUGGUAAAUUUGAAAAUCACACUUUUUAAAUGUAAUUGGUAUGACCCUGUUAUUGAUAGAGGCACACGAAGAAACAAUGGUGGCGUCACUGACGCUAAUUCAUCAAGAAGAUACAAUAAGUACGAACCAUUUAUCCUAGGUAUGUUGAUAUAUAUAUAUAUAUAUAUAUAUAUAUACUUAAAAUAUAUAUGUUUUUUUGUUGAAAGAAUCUUUUUAUUUUGCUGAUCUUCCACAGCUUCUCAAGCUGACCAAGUUUGUUAUAUUCCCUAUCCAUACCGAAAGAAACCGAAGCAAUUGUGGUUGAACGUGGUAAAAGUAAAUCCAAGAGGAAACAUUAAUGGAGAUUAUGAAGAGAAAGAACCAACUCUUUUACAACAAGUAAAUGAUGAUGAUAUAAUGCUGACUACAAUUGAGGAUCUUGUGGUCGAUAAUCGAGUACUCGGAGUAAACUCCAUAAAUCUUGAUUUUGAUGUUGAAGAUGCAGAACCAGCUGAUGAAUUUCAGUGUAACUUAUCAUCCUCAGAUGAUGAUGAAGAUGAAGAUGAACCUUACUAAUUAUUUUGUUUAAACUAGUUGAUAAUAUGAUGAAGAUUAAGAUGAACAUUACCAAUUUCAUUUUUUUAAAAAUUGUUUAAAUCAUUUGAUAUUAGUUGAUAUUAUCAAUUUAACUAAAUCAAAAUUAAACCAGAUUAAGAUUAAUCUUAAAACCAAAUUAAACCAUAAAACUAAACCAUAUCAAACCAGAUUAAAAUUUAGUUAACCCAUAAAACCUAAUUAAACCAUACUUAACCAAAAUUAACUCACUAACCCUAAAUUAACCCGAAGCCCACUAACUAAAUCCUAAGCCCACUAACUAAAAUUAACCCACUAACCCUAAAUUAACCCGAAGCCCACUAACUAAAUCCUAAGGCCACUAACACUUAACAAAAUUUCUUCUUCCCUCUAGUCGAUCUAAACGACUAAACCCUAAUUCCUCUUUCUCUUCUCUCGAUCAUUCCGCCUCUUCUCUCACACCGAUUCUCUCUUCUCAACCUGUUUUUCGAUUCUAAGUUCUAACCCACACCGAUUCUCUCUUAUCUUCACUCUUUCUCUCUUCUCCACCGAUCCGAAACCCACAAACCGAUGGUUACUCGUCGUUCGAAGAAAGGAAGAGGAGGUGGA
rnacentral:lncRNA from 1 species